rnacentral:rRNA from 1 species
UACGGAGGUCUCAAGCGUUGUUCGGAUUCAUUGGGCGUAAAGGGUGCGUAGGCGGCGCGGUAAGUCGGGUGUGAAAUCUCGGAGCUUAACUCCGAAACUGCAUUCGAUACUGCCGUGCUUGAGGACUGGAGAGGAGACUGGAAUUUACGGUGUAGCGGUGAAAUGCGUAGAUAUCGGGAGGAACACCAGUGGCGAAGGCGGAACUCUGGGCCGGAACUGACGCUGAGGAGCGAAAGCGUGGGGAGCGAACAGG